rnacentral:rRNA from 1 species
AAGCAACCAUGCCGGGUGUAUGAAGAAGGCUUUCGGGUUGUAAAGUACUUUCAGCAUGAGGAAGGUGGAUAUGUUAAUAGCAUAUUCAUUUGACGUUAGCUGCAGAAGAAGCACCGGCUAAUUCCGUGCCAGCAGCCGCGGUAAUACGGAGGGUGCGAGCGUUAAUCGGAAUUACUGGGCGUAAAGCGCAUGCAGGUGGUUUGUUAAGUCAGAUGUGAAAGCCCGGGGCUCAACCUCGGAAUUGCAUUUGAAACUGGCAAACUAGAGUACUGUAGAGGGGGGUAGAAUUUCAGGUGUAGCGGUGAAAUGCGUAGAGAUCUGAAGGAAUACCGGUGGCGAAGGCGGCCCCCUGGACAGAUACUGACACUCAGAUGCGAAAGCGUGGGGAGCAAACAGGAUUAGAUACCCUGGUAGUCCACGCCGUAAACGAUGUCUACUUGGAGGUUGUGGCCUUGAGCCGUGGCUUUCGGAGCUAACGCGUUAAGUAGACCGCCUGGGGAGUACGGUCGCAAGAUUAAAACUCAAAUGAAUUGACGGGGGCCCGCACAAGCGGUGGAGCAUGUGGUUUAAUUCGAUGCAACGCGAAGAACCUUACCUACUCUUGACAUCUACAGAAGCCAGCGGAGACGCAGGUGUGCCUUCGGGAACUGUAAGACAGGUGCUGCAUGGCUGUCGUCAGCUCGUGUUGUGAAAUGUUGGGUUAAGUCCCGCAACGAGCGCAACCCUUAUCCUUGUUUGCCAGCACUUCGGGUGGGAACUCCAGGGAGACUGCCGGUGAUAAACCGGAGGAAGGUGGGGACGACGUCAAGUCAUCAUGGCCCUUACGAGUAGGGCUACACACGUGCUACAAUGGCGCAUACAGAGGGCGGCCAACUUGCGAAAGUGAGCGAAUCCCAAAAAGUGCGUCGUAGUCCGGAUUGGAGUCUGCAACUCGACUCCAUGAAGUCGGAAUCGCUAGUAAUCGUGGAUCAGAAUGCCACGGUGAAUACGUUCCCGGGCCUUGUACACACCGCCCGUCACACCAUGGGAGUGGGCUGCAAAAGAAGUGGGUAGUUUAACCUUCGGGAGGACGCUCACCACUUUGUGGUUCAUGACUGGGGUGAAGUCGUAACAAGGUAACCG